AACGAACGCUGGCGGCAUGCCUAACACAUGCAAGUCGAACGAGACCUUCGGGUCUAGUGGCGCACGGGUGCGUAACGCGUGGGAAUCUGCCCUUGGGUUCGGAAUAACAGUUGGAAACGACUGCUAAUACCGGAUGAUGACGUAAGUCCAAAGAUUUAUCGCCCAAGGAUGAGCCCGCGUAGGAUUAGCUAGUUGGUGAGGUAAAGGCUCACCAAGGCGACGAUCCUUAGCUGGUCUGAGAGGAUGAUCAGCCACACUGGGACUGAGACACGGCCCAGACUCCUACGGGAGGCAGCAGUGGGGAAUAUUGGACAAUGGGCGAAAGCCUGAUCCAGCAAUGCCGCGUGAGUGAUGAAGGCCUUAGGGUUGCAAAGCUCUUUUACCCGGGAUGAUAAUGACAGUACCGGGAGAAUAAGCUCCGGCUAACUCCGUG
rnacentral:rRNA from 1 species